GAGGAUAUAGCUCAAGUGGUAGAGCACAUGCUUAGCAUGCACAAGGUCCCGGGUUCAAUCCCCAGUACCUCCU
rnacentral:tRNA from 1 species